rnacentral:rRNA from 1 species
GUGGGGAAUAUUGGGCAAUGGGCGCAAGCCUGACCCAGCGACGCCGCGUGGGCGAUGAAGGCCUUCGGGUUGUAAAGCCCUGUCAUGCGGAAAGAACGACCCUGUGACGCAUACUCACAGGGAGUGACGGUACCGCAGGAGGAAGCACCGGCUAACUCCGUGCCAGCAGCCGCGGUAAUACGGAGGGUGCAAGCGUUGUUCGGAAUUAUUGGGCGUAAAGGGCGCGUAGGCGGUAAUGUAAGUCAGAUGUGAAAUACUCCGGCUCAACCAGAGAACAGCAUAUGAAAGUGCAUAACUAGAGUACAGAAGAGGGAAACGGAAUUCCCGGUGUAGAGGUGAAAUUCGUAGAUAUCGGGAGGAACACCAGUGGCGAAGGCGGUUUCCUGGUCUGAUACUGACGCUGAGGCGCGAAAGCGUGGGGAGCAAACAGGAUUAGAAACCCCAGUAGUCC